rnacentral:rRNA from 1 species
ACAGGGAAGCUUGCUUCCGCUGACGACCGGCGCACGGGUGCGUAACGCGUAUGCAACCUACCUCUAACUGGGGAAUAGCCCCGAGAAAUCGGGAUUAAUACCUCAUAACAUUUAUCAUUCGCAUGUUUGAUAAAUUAAAGUUCCGACGGUUAGAGAUGGGCAUGCGUGACAUUAGCUUGUUGGUGAGGUAACGGCUCACCAAGGCUGCGAUGUCUAGGGGUUCUGAGAGGAUUUUCCCCCACACUGGUACUGAGACACGGACCAGACUCCUACGGGAGGCAGCAGUAAGGAAUAUUGGGCAAUGGACGAAAGUCUGACCCAGCCAUGCCGCGUGCAGGAUGACGGCCCUACGGGUUGUAAACUGCUUUUAUAUAGGAAGAAACCCCAUUACGUGUAAUGGGCUGACGGUACUAUACGAAUAAGCACCGGCUAACUCCGUGCCAGCAGCCGCGGUAAUACGGAGGGUGCAAGCGUUAUCCGGAUUUAUUGGGUUUAAAGGGUGCGCAGGCGGAAUGAUUAGUCAGUGGUGAAAUCCUACAGCUCAACUGUAGAACUGCCAUUGAUACUGUCAUUCUUGAGUACAGAUGAAGUGGGCGGAAUGUAUCAUGUAGCGGUGAAAUGCAUAGAUAUGAUACAGAACUCCGAUAGCGAAGGCAGCUCACUAAACUGACACUGACGCUCAGGCACGAAAGCGUGGGGAGCAAACAGGAUUAGAUACCCUGGUAGUCCACGCCGUAAACGAUGAUCACUCGUUGUUGGCAACACAUCGUCAGCGACUGAACGAAAGUAUUAAGUGAUCCACCUGGGGAGUACGAUCGCAAGGUUGAAACUCAAA